UAUUUAUGUAGCCAUUUACUGGAAUAUUAAAUGGUUAUUGUGGUGUUAAUUGAUGUGCUGGGUAUUGUCCAGUAUGCAAUCUGGAGUUAUUCUAGUACAAAGCCUUUAUAUGACAUUUAGCUGUAGUUAUAAACUACACGAUCCUUUAGUGGAUAACUACUUCCAACAGACACAUACACUGGCUUAGAGAAUGCAAAUUCUCUUAAGCAAAAUGUUAUUGGAUCAGGAGGAAGGGAAAAAUUUCAUGAAGAGGGAUACACAUCCAAAAGAUUAGCCUGCUGCAAAAGCAAAGGUACUGUGAAAUAUACAACUAGACUUGUGUUCUUUGCUUAUGAAGCUUAGAAAAACUCAUACAGUAGAGUAAAAGUAAAGUACAUCCAAAAUUUUACAUAAAACCAAUAAUAGAAAGAAAGAAGGAAAAUAGAAAAAAGCCUUGUAAUGGAAAAAUUUUGCCUUGUGCUGUUUCUUAUCCAACACACUCGUCAUGUGCUGGUUAGGUGCAAUACUGAACAUUCUUACACAAACAAAUAAUCUCUUGUGCCCUGACGUACAUCAAGUCUAAACAUCUGAUGCUCCAUUUGACUGACUAAUAAUUUCUGAUAUAUGUUUGUCUUUUACACCCGGACUCUGGCUCCAUCCUAUCUGACUCCCCACCAGACCCAAGGCUGUUAAAGCAAAUGCAUCUUGUCUUGGAAGCUCGGUGUUCCUUCCUUUGAAUAACAAGACAUGACGAUGCAGAAGUGAGAAAGCAAACAUUCUCACUCACAGCGAGAUAAGGUGGCGCAAACAAUUCCAUUGCUGCAGAGAGACAUUCCACCAGAGCCAGAGAAAGGGGUUAAAAGGCAGAAGCAACUUGAGGAUCGUGGGCUCUUUGCAUCACACCUUCGUGGUGUGUGCACUGAUCUCCCCAGCUGGUUUUUGGUUUGUUGAUGUGCACGAUCAACAUCCAUGCUUUUUAUUUGCUUUCCCCAUUAUUUUUAUUUUCUUUAUUAUUUCAAUAAAUUGCACAAAAGGACAACUCUCUCUCAUCUACUUCUUUAUGGAAAAUUUCCACCACAGAAAUUGGCGUUGUCGGCAGGAUCCCGCUGCAGGUCGUCUGGACGGUGUGACCAGGGACGAUAGUCCUGAGGACUAGGGUCGCUCAGCCUCCAAACCUCUACAGACAUUCAGAGCUGGGAGGACUGCUCACCCGUCUGGAUCGCCUCUGACGAGAUCCACGAACUCAGAUUCAAACUCAAAUCCUAAUUUGGCUCGGCUCGUUCCACACGUCCCUCUGUGAAAACAUGAUGGAGACAGACGCAGGACGUGGGUCCUUUCGUGAACAGAUGUCAACGGGGUGGAGACUGGUGAACGACUUCUGACCCCAUGUGACGUAUUCACCUACUUUGCAUACUUUAAAAAAAAAAGACUUUUUUUUAUUCUGCCUGUCAUGUGCAGCAAACAGUGAACUGGGUACCUCCACAUUCUAAUGACACACUACAUGCUUUUGUUUUUAUUUUGAUUUUUCAGAGGACGCUCUGACCCAACACUCAGCCUUACAGGAAGCCACUGCUUCCCUGUGACUCACACACAGACAUGAUGUAGGUUUGAUCAGAGGAUGUGAACCAGUGGUCAUCACACCUAAAUCUGACCACAGACCAUGUGAACAACAACACCCUCUUAAAGGAAGCUAUAGAUGGCGUUACUGCAGACACCACUAAGCUACUGAAUCAUUGGAUGCUACAGGCCACAAAGAGAGCCUGUCUAAAUUACAGUUUGUUCAGACAAAGGUUAUUUUCUGGGUCAUUGUAAUUACAGCUGAUGGCAAAUCCAUCUCACCCAACAGAGUUGAAGCAAUUUGAAACCUGCCUAAACUGUGCACGUAUAAACAGCUUAUCUUUUCUAGGUUUUCGUUCUUAUUGUAGGAACUUCAUUCUUAACUUUAAUGUCUUUGAGGCCCCACUCAGGGUUCUGAUGCAGACAUCUUCAUCGUCCACUUCUUGUCUCACGUGGACGUCUGAGGCUGAACAACGUUCACCGACCUCAUGCUUGCUCUUCAGUUGGCUCCUACCUUGGGUCUUCCUGAUCUGACCCUAUGCGACCUUUCACUCAAACAGUGGAUGAGAGAUCAGGUUGUACGACUUCUGUUCUUUGUCCUCAUACUGUGUCUUUGAUUCUUUUGGAAAACAUCACAUCUUUCUACAGCCCGAUGGCUUAGAUGCAACACCACCUUGCUCAACAUGCUGAAAAUUACUAUCAAGAGUCCGUCGUGAAGUCUGGCUCUUUGCUAAGACACUACUCUGCUCAGGCUGCAGAGUUGAUCGUAUUGACUGAAGCUAGUAAACUAGCAGAAGGAGAGACUGGUACCAUCUAUAUGGACUCCACAGAUGCUUGUCACGUUGGUUCUCUGUGGAAGCAUGGGAAGCUUUGAAGUCUGAUUGCAAACCUAUCUUACAUCAUGAUAAGGUUCUGCUUUGCUGGACGCUGUCCUGCUACAGUACCUACAGCUAAUGCUGUUUGUAACUGUCCCACUCACAACAUCAGUGACGACUUUGUUUCUGCCGACAUGCAGCUGCAGACGCUGCUGCGAAGGUCGCUGCCCAACAACCCCUCCCUCUCCUGAUCCUCGUUUCCUCUCCUCAUCCUUGUUCCCUCUCUCCAACUCUCUCUAUCCUUUCCUUCCUUUCUUCCUCUCUCCCUGUGCUUUAAACAUUUUCUACCUCGCAGGAACGCAGACUCUGGCUGACGAAUGGUUCCACCUGUAGCCAUGGAGUCUGGUUGGGGCCUGAUGACACGCCGUGCCGCCCAAACACCUUUUCCCCAUAAUUCAGAUUUCCCAACAGGUGAAAGCAGGCGACAGGACCAUUACACCAUCCAACCAGGGCACUGGGUGAUCGUUAAGGAGUUCAGGAGGAAGCACUGGGACUCCAAACGGUGGCGAGGCCACUUCCAGGUCCUUCUGACGACCCACACGGCUGUAAAGAUCGCAGAGAGAGCGACUUGGAUCCACUCCAUCCAGGAAGGUCCCGGAUCCGACAGACGACCCUCCAUCUACACCACACGAGAAAACCACCACUGACGAAAAGAAUUGAGAAGAACGACCCUCGCUGUGCUCACACACGCACUGAGGCGAGGCUGCGUUGACCGUUCAGCUAAAGGUGUGAGCCAAGCGCCGCCUGAAGCUGCGCCGAUGAAUCACACUAUCAGACCAUACAUCUACACACACGUUCCUGAGAAAACACACACACGAGCAGCGUUGAGUUGCCGACGCUGGACGACGUGUAGACUCUUCACAUCACGGGAGUGACAGUGACUCAGACGACAUUGGGAGGAAACCUGGCGGUGAUAACGAAUCCCAAGUGUCUCUGUGAUCAGCUGAUCACAACCUGAAGAACCCCAACGAACAAUCAAUACUUCAACACACAGGUUGGAAACAAUCUAACGCUACUGUUCAACAGGACGAAGCAGAUUGUUACAAGACAUCAAUUGUAACCUCGUUGCGUUAGACAUUUUAUGUUACUCUGAUUAUUGCCUUUAUCAUAUGAUGUUUUCAUGUAACUUUGCACACUACUUUUGAAUGAGAAAAUUUCACAUAAUUCACAACACUGAGUUUAAAUAUCCUAAAGUUGACUUGGUGUUUAAUUUGCUCACAAUCACUUUAUUCACUGCUACAAUUAGUUUUAUCCUUCAUCUACAGAUGAAAGACAACACAAGCAGAAAAACGCAUCAUCAUUCUGGUUAAAUCCCUGAAUCUCGUAUUCGCUCUAGGCCCAAAUGUACAAUUAAAGAUCCGAAAGCAUGAAAUCUAUCUGAAGAUUAUAUGAUACAGAACCCCACCGGAAACCUAUGGCUAUCAUACAUUAAUUGUCUUUAUUACAUUACAAUUGAAUGGCCGUAGACACGUUGUUAGCAGAGAAAAGAGGCGUUUGUGUUAUGUUUGGAGAGGCAUGUUGUACUUACAUCCUGAAUAACACUGAUUCUAAUGGUAUUGUGGCGAAGGCGCUCCACGACCUUCAGAAUCUCAGCUAACUCUGGUAUAGGUUCUUUCCCUUGGAAAUUGGCUAGACGAAAUGUCUGGAAAAUGGAAAUCUGUCCUCAUGUCCACAGCUGUUUCCUUUAUAAUUGAGAUGGCUGUGAUUCUCUUGUUUGGUUUUUGCGUUAUCCCACUGGUUAAAGGUCUCAUCAUGCGUGCGACCUCAGCAACACUCUCGUAUCAAAUGACACAAUGAACUAUGUUCAAAAACCCCAACUCUAAUUCACGUAAUGACUUUGACGAUGGCUAUCUGAUCACAAAAUAUAAUCUGGUACAAAUAUGAUUAUGGACUUAUUUUCUUCACAUGCUCAUACAGAGGUUAUUCUUGUUUAACUACCCACCAAAACAGCUCCCAACCUUUUAUCCCUAAGUUACUUGCAUUUUUAUGUGAAGGUGUAUUUUUGAAUUUUGACUUAAUACACUUACUGUUUCAUUUGUAAGGGUUGUUACUACAAAAUGCAAUGUUUGAAAAAAUUUAUUAUUUUAGUGUUUGAUUAAUGUGUAAUCAAAAGGGGGGAAUGUAAUGGAAAAAAUUUGCCUUGUGCUGUUUCUUAUCCAACACACUCGUCAUGUGCUGGUUAGGUGCAAUACUGAACAUUCUUACACAAACAAAUAAUCUCUUGUGCCCUGACGUACAUCAAGUCUAAACAUCUGAUGCUCCAUUUGACUGACUAAUAAUUUCUGAUAUAUGUUUGUCUUUUACACCCGGACUCUGGCUCCAUCCUAUCUGACUCCCCACCAGACCCAAGGCUGUUAAAGCCAAUGCAUCUUGUCUUGGAAGCUCGGUGUUCCUUCCUUUGAAUAACAAGACAUGACGAUGCAGAAGUGAGAAAGCAAACAUUCUCACUCACAGCGAGAUAAGGUGGCGCAAACAAUUCCAUUGCUGCAGAGAGACAUUCCACCAGAGCCAGAGAAAGGGGUUAAAAGGCAGAAGCAACUUGAGGAUGGUGGGCUCUUUGCAUCACACCUUCGUGGUGUGUGCACUGAUCUCCCCAGCUGGUUUUUGGUUUGUUGAUGUGCACGAUCAACAUCCAUGCUUUUUAUUUGCUUUCCCCAUUAUUUUUAUUUUCUUUAUUAUUUCAAUAAAUUGCACAAAAGGACAA